CACACAUAUUCCUAGCACCACUCUCUUGAUCUCAUAAUCUUAACCAAUUGAGCUAAAAAUUUACAUUUUAUUUAUGGAAGAUGAUAGUCAUAAUCAUGAAAUCAUUGACAUAUUAUGCAUAGAUAGACAAUUCUUCCAUAUGUUAAGCAACUUAAUCAUUUCUACCAAAUAUUUUUAAUUGCUACAUUCAUGCUCAUCUUUUGAUCCUACCCCAUGUUAAGAUUGAGCAUAAACAUCAACUUUAUCUUGUUUAAUGUGCCCAAGGUUAGAGAAGAAUAAAGAUUUAGUUCUAUUGGUGUUUUCCAGCAAUAGAGCCUGCACUUGAUUUCUACCUUGUCUUUACAAGAAGGACACACUUCGAGCAAAAUGUAGAGCUUUGACAAUUCCCCAUAUUCUACAAGUGAACACUCUAGACCUACGAAUAUGCACACUGAGCAAGAUGCUCCCACCCUCCACUAUUAAUACUUCUCUUUAAACUACUAGACAAGCAAAGAACAUGGGUGACACCAUCCUCAGAAUCAUCAUCUUAAGAGGUGCAACCAUUUAGGUCUCCAUCUUCGAGACCAAUAGAUGCACCCAAAGAAUAAACAAGAUUAGAGAAAGAGUCCUAUCUUAUAACAAUCCAAAAUUUUUAAUUUUGGAUUGUUAUUAGAAAACACUAAAUUAAAUAAAGAUUUAAUUUUUUAUAAAAUAUUCCAAGAUUCAUUUAAUUAUUGAAUUCAAAAAGAGAUAAAAAUGUGGAAUUUUAAAACUUUUAUAAAGAAAAGUGAAGGGUGUUUUGUAUUGUUAUUAUGUGCUUUGUGCCCUAGCUUUGUUUGGCUUGUGAAAAAAAUGAAUUUCAAAAUUUCUAGCGUGCCACAUUUAGGUCCUGUUGGUUUUCACAAAAAUAAAACUCCAAAAGUCCUAUUUGAAAACUAAUUCAAAUUUGAGUUGCAAAAACAAUUUAGGUGUGUUUAAACUAAAAUAUAUUUAGAUUUCAAAAUAGUCUAAAAACAAAUUCCAAAAUAAUCCCUAAGUAUUGGCUCAAAUUUAUUUUGAAAUAUGGUUUCAAAAUAGUUUAGAAAUUGGUUGACAAAAUAGUUUAGAAUUUAUGUUUUACAAAAAGAAAAAAAGGAAAAAAAAGCCCUCUCUCCUUUUUGGGCCGGCUCCCUCUCCCUCGGCCCACCUUCCCCCUUCCCUCUCUCACCCGCGCUAGCGGCCCAGCCCGGCCAAGCGCAGCAGUGCCAGCCCGCCUCAGCCCUGAGCCGCUGCCACGUGGGGCCCGCUCGCCAGUCGCAGCCCCCCGCCGCUUGAGCCGCUGACGCCCCGGUCCCACGUGUCAGGGCCAUCUCCUACCUUCGAAUCGCGCGGGGUGCGCCCGCCACCGCUCAAUUCCACCCGAGCGCGCACCCCGAGGAUUCCCGCGCCUAUAAAAUGGUUUAGCCCUAUGCUCCGCGCCCCUCGCUAAACCCUAGGCCAGCCGCCGCCACCUCGUGCCCAGCCGCGUAGCUGCCAAAGCCGCUAGCGCCGCCCCGAGCUCCAAGCCGCCGUUCAUCUUCUCGACGGUUGCGCCCCAAAAGACAUGGACCGGUCCCUGAGCUUCGCGUCGAGGUGAGAAACCCACCGAACCACUUCCCGCCCCCU
rnacentral:lncRNA from 1 species